UUUAGUUUAAUGUGGUGUUGAUGCAUUGUGGGGUUUGGUCUCAUAGGCGGAUAGUUUCCUGUUUUUU
rnacentral:tRNA from 1 species